UGUGUAUGGAUGUGGUAUAGUUAUUGUGUAUAUGUUUGUGGAUGUGACAUAGUUUUUGUGUGUGUGUGGAUGUGUGUGUGUGUGUUUGGAGGUGACAUAUUUAUUGUGUGGGUGGGGGGAUGUGACAUAUUUAGUGUGUGUGUACGUGUGCGGAUAUGUACAUAUUUAUUGCGUGUGGAUAUGUGUGUGGAUUUUACAUAAUUGUGUGUGUGUUUGUGUGUGGAUGUGACAUUGUGUGUGUGUGGAGGUGACAUUUAUUGUGUGUGUGGGAUGUGUACAUAUUGUGUGUGUGUGGGUGUGUAUAUAUUUAUUGUGUGUGUGUGGAUGUGACAUUUUGUGUGUGUGUUUGUGUAUAUAUACAUAUUUAUUGUGUGUGGAUGUGUUUGUGUGGAUUUUACAUAUUUAUUGUGUUUGUGUGUGGAUGUGACAUUUAGUGUGUGUGUACGUGUGUGGAUAUGUACAUAUUUAUUGCGUGUGGAUUUUACAUAUUUACUGUGUUUGUGUGUGGAUGUGACAUAUGUCAGAAUCAGAAUGACUUGUAGGAGCUGAGUCUUCUUCCACCAGGUGGGUCUUGGGGAUUGAACUCAGGUCCUCAGUCUUGAUAGCAAAUGCCUUUGCCAAACUCUGAGCCAGAGGAACUUGUAGACUUGUUUGUCUUUUUUUUUGAAAUAGGAUCUCUC
rnacentral:lncRNA from 1 species